CGGCACUCUGGAGACGCCCGCGCGCCAAGCGCCGGGGGCCGAAGGUGAAAGCGCGGGGAACCGGCGCGAAUCUCUCAGGCAAAAGGACAGAGCG
rnacentral:ncRNA from 1 species